rnacentral:lncRNA from 1 species
CUGAUGACUGCCUUGCGAGCUUGAUGUAUUCGAAUUACCAAGGUGCUCCGGUAACGAUUAAAAAAGAUUCAUUACCCACUCCAUUUGCGCAGAAUAUGCUAGUCGACGGUCUGUACGGAGGCCUGGUGUAUGAUGUUGUUAGGGUUAAGUGGAUUAUUCUUUGGACCACUGAUUGUAAGGUAUUAAUUAAUCAAUAUAUUUUUCAUUUAUUUUGAUUUUGUAGCAGAAGAAAUUAAUUAAUUAAACUAUAUAUCAGGUGGCUACUAAGAUCAUUCCGACCGAAAACCAUAUUGUUUGGGAGGAUAUAGUGAGCAUCCUUCAGCCCUACGAUAGCUCUGACAACUUGCCCUUAUCAUGUGGGGGUGCAUUUUCCGCCGAAGCUCAUAUCCAUGCAAAUGGAGAUGGAUCUCUAAACCUGACAGCACAAAUCAUGUGGAGCGGUUGCAAGUAACCUGACUCUCUUUGCAUCAUAUAUUGCUCCAUGCUUAUCUCUAUCAGUUUGUGCUGUGUGACCCACGGAGGCUGUCUACUUCUUUAUAUUAAUAAUACUAUUAAAUAAAUUUGACAGCCACCCCAUAAUAUACUACUGGAUUCCUACUUCUUCUACCUUACCUAUUCAACAUUGUGUGCCUUGUUUCUCCUUUUUCUUUUCUUUUCUGUAAUAGUAUAUACACACACGAUUGUGUGAAUUAAUAAAAAAAUGUCUAUGUCUGUGUCUAUAUCUAUAUCUUUAUAAAAGUGUUGGGUGCAAUAUUAAGACAUAUUGUAUUUUUUGUAGAUUAUAUAAAAUUGGUUAAAUUUCAAGUUUAUCUCUAUAUUUCACUCAAAUUUGAAAUUGAAUCUCUUUACUUUAAUUCUAACAUAAGUUGGCACCUGAAUUCUUAUAAUGUCUUUCGUUAGUCUAAAUAUGUUAUUCUAAUUGAAACGCUCAUGCGAAUUUAAAAGGAUUAUUAACACCAUCAAAAUUCUCUAUUAAAUUAAUUCUAGUCAAUUACAAUGUAAUUUUUUCUGCUCCUUGGGUACCAAGUAUAAGUAUAUUUUUUAAUUUGAAAAUGACAUGCCAACAAGUUUAACAAAAGAAUUAUGACAACGCUAACAAAUGGACCUAAAUUCAAGAUGUGGAGUUCUCUAUUGAUGUGACUUUGAGGAUCGCUCCUAUAACAGGUGUGCUGUAUAGAAUCACUCCAGGAGACAUGAAGGACUUGAAAGUUCAGCUACAAGAACUGUUAGAUAACGGGUUCAUCAGAUCAAGUGUUUCGCCUUGGGGUGCACCAAUAUUGUUUGUUAAGAAGAAGGAUGAGACCCUCCGAUUAUGUAUUGAUUAUAAGCAGCAGAAAAAAGUGACCAUAUUAAGUUGCCCAGGAUUGAGAACUUUUUUGAUCAGCUAACUGGAGCUAGAGUUUUCUCAAAGAUUGAUAUAUGAGCUAGGUAUUAUCAAGUUGAAACUUCCAAAUAUAAAACAACGUAAGAUGUUAAUAAUAUCCUCUUAACAAUAAUAAGAUGGAAGACUAGUAAUAAUAUCUUAACAAUUUAAACUAUUUCAUUUGGAAAUCUAACUAAGGAUCAUUCCCUUGCAUGUGUCAACUUGGUCGUAAAUUAGCGAUUCCUAUCUAGAUGGUCAAUGAUCAAAAUAUAUAAGAAUGUAAAAGAUAAAUAUAAAAAUUAAUCGUUGUUGGUUUUUUUAAAAAAAAUAAAUUUUAAUAAAGUACAAUUAUUUAUAUUUCGAAUCACCUAUCCAUGCACAAUUAAAACUCACAAGUCUAAUAUUUAUUUUUUUUUAAAAAGGUAAGAUGACAAUAAUAUCCUCCUAACUAUGAGGCUUUUGUUGUUAUUCAGGUCUAAAUUUUAAAUAAGAUGACUACUUAGAAAUAAAAUUUUAUUGCGGUCCAGGGACACGUUGAGGAGGAACAAUUAUGGAAAUUACAAAGAUGUAUGGUGGAUGAAACAGCUACCUGAUGCGAUAUUAAGAACUUACAAGGAAGAAUCGUAAAGGUAGGAUUAGGGGAGAUUAGAAUCAGAAGAACCCAAGGUAGAUUCUUCUUGGUCUGCAUACCAGAAGAGGAGCUGUUUGGGAUUUGGUUAUUUGCGAGAGUUCUUUGUUUCAAUCGAACCUUGAUCGGAACUUACAAUGGUGGAAGAGAGGGUAGCAUGGAUAGAUGUGGCUGGAGUUCCGUUACACUGCUGGAAUUACUAAAAAGAAUUAUUAAAAUAAAAAGAAUCCUAAAAGCUAAAAAGCCAUGAAUGCCAAAUUACUAAUGAUCCCAUGCCAAAAUCUUUCAUGUGAUUCCACAUUUUGUAUUUACACUCCACCUACAUUGAAAUUAGGCAAUAAACACAGAAUUUAGUAGCAUCAUGUCCCCAAAUAUAUCAAAAUAAAGCACAUAAAUAUGUCAAUUUGGCACAACAUCAUGUUAGGUGUGUCAAUAAAAUUUACUGUUUGAAAUCUCGCAUAGUUAAAACUUAAACAUAAAAUGUCAUUAAUAUUCUCUUAACAAUUAGGUUCUUGUCCAUUUUCAUUUUUAUUAAUUAAAACUAAAAAAUAUUUUUUUAAAAUAAAUUGAAUACUUGAUACAUCUACUAGUAUAAAAAUUGCAAGUCAAAUAUUCAAACAAGAACAAGAACAAUUAUUUGGAACAAGUGGAACCUGAUGUAUUUUGACAACUAAUUUUUUUUUAAAAGAAAAUUGGUUUUUGGGUAUUUGUGAUGUCAGUUUCACGAUUCAUAUUUUAAAAAGAAAUAUUUGUUGUGCCGUGGGAGUUCAGUUAAACGUUAUUAUUUAGUAGUAAUUAAAAAUCUAGUUCGUUCGGUUUUGAUAAUUUUUGGACUAUUUUUAAACUUUGAAUUUUAACUUGUUUUAUUUCCUGUCUUUAAUUAUUUUGAUGUAUUUCUUAUGAUAUUCAUUGUAUAUGCAAAACCAAGGCUUCCAAUAACAAAUCGCAUUUUACAAAAUCAAACUACAUUAAAAUUCCGCCGCAAACUUAAAUGUUUUAAAAGUAUAACUAAUCAACGGUUUCAUCAAAUUGGUUAAGAUGAGUUCUUUAAAUAACUGUAUUUUUACUUAGCGAAAGCUAGCGUCAUGUUUAUAAGUUUUCAACGAUUAUUGGAUUUUCAAAUGAGUCGUAGUCACUCUUAUAGAUCUAAUCAUAACGUCUAGGUCAGGUUUGAAAUGUUACGCACCAAUAGAUAAUUGUGGACAAUGCCACCAUAAUUGCAGUCAAACUAUCAAGUUAGAAAUAUGUGGUCAAACCAUUAUAAUUGUUGUCAAGCUGCCAUAACAGAAAUGUAGUUAACCCACCAGAUAGUGCAGAUCAUUAAACUAAUAGAUAUUUCUCUUUACCAUAUUAUUCCAACCCCAUGAAUUGUGACAUGGCAUGCAAAUAUAGAAUCUGAAUAAAAAGCAUGUAAGACAUGCAGUUGUACAACAACAAAAAUCAGAAGGCAUGAAAUUCCACACUUUGUAGAACAGAUGUGUCACUAACUCAACAAAAACAAAUUAGUUUCGCCAUAAAGUCAAUGCAUGGUCAUAUAACAUAUUCAUAGAUACAUUAAUUUACAUAAUCACACAACAUAUACUCGUAUACAAACAUCAUGUUAAGUGUGUCAGUAAAAUCUAGAGUUUGAAAUCUCGCAUAGUUAAAACUUAAACGAAAGAUGUCAUUAAUAUACUCUUAACAAUAAGGUUUUUGUCAUUUUCAUUUUUAUUAAUUAAAACUAAAAAAUAUUUACUUUAAAUAAAUUGAAUACUUGAUACACCUACUCAUAUAAAAGUUGCAAGUCAAAUACGCAAACAAGAACUAGAACAAUUAUUUGGAACAAGUGGAGCCUAAUGUAUUUUGACAACUAAAUUUUUUUAAAAGAAAUAUGAUUUUUUGUUAUUUGUGAUGUCCAUUUUAUGGUUCAUGUUGAAGGUCUUAAAAAUGUCACCUUCAAGAUUUGAACUUAAAUGUUCUCUCGAAAUUGUAAUGUUCCUUCUUUACCACUACAUCCAACACUUAUCAUUAGUUUUUAAAAAUAUGUUAAUUAAAUAUAAACUUAUUUGAUUAAUCCUUGUUGGUAAUUUUUAAAAAAUGGAUUUUAAUAAAGUACAAUUAUGUAUAUUUUCAAUCACCUAUUCAUAUCCUUGCACAAUUAAAACUCACAAGCCUAAUAUUUAUUUAUAAAAAGGUGAAAUGACAAUAUUAUCCUCCUAACUACAAGUCUAAUAUUUAUUUUAUAAAAAAAAAAGGUGGGAUGACAAUAAGGUUUUUGUUCUUAUUCAGGUCUAAAUUUUAAAUAAAAUGACUACCUGAUAUAAAUAAUCAAAUAAAAAUUGUUGGCCAAAUAUACAUGAGGACGAUAAUAUCCCUCUAACUAUGGAGCUUUUGUCUUCAAUUUAAUUAAAUUAUCUCCCAAUAUAUUUUCAAAGUACCAUUGGACACUGCUAAUUAAAUUCUUGUUGGCAGUGAGGGCCUAAAAGGCAAUUUGUCCAGUUUAGCCAAGGUCAAUACCAAGAUAGAUGACAAUAAUAUCCUUUUAACUAUAAGGGUUUUGUCGUCUUAACAGGGAGGCUUUUCGAGUUUUAUUUUAUUAAAACUAAAUAAUAUGACUUUGAAUUUGAAGUUAUGUUAUUAAAUAUUUGAAUAAAAUGACUUUGUUAUCAUAUUUAAAUUUAAAAGUCUUACUUGUAAUGCUAGAAGGUUGUGUAUAAAUAUGUGUAUGGAGGUAGAUAUGAAGCAGAAUAGAAGGAGAGUGAACUAAAAAAGGAGUUAAAAAUGGCUUGUCCUCCAACUCAUAAAGUGGUAAAAGGUGAGCUUAAGAAUGGUUCUGAUGACUGCCUUGCGAGCUUGAUGUAUUCGAAUUACCAAGGUGCUCCGGUAACGAUUAAAAAAGAUUCAUUACCCACUCCAUUUGCGCAGAAUAUGAUGGUCGACGGUCUGUACGGAGGCCUGGUGUAUGAUGUUGUUAGGGUUAAGUGGAUUAUUCUUUGGACCACUGAUUGUAAGGUAUUAAUUAAUCAAUAUAUUUUUCAUUUAUUUUGAUUUUGUAGCAGAAGAAAUUAAUUAAUUAAACUAUAUAUCAGGUGGCUACUAAGAUCAUUCCGACCGAAAACCAUAUUGUUUGGGAGGAUAUAGUGAGCAUCCUUCAGCCCUACAAUAGCUCUGACAUCUUGCCCUUAUCAUGUGGGGGUGCAUUUUCCUCCGAAGCUCAUAUCCAUGCAAAUGCAGAUGGAUCUCUAAACCUGACAGCACAAAUCAUGUGGAGCGGUUGCAAUUAACCUGCCUCUCUUUGCAUCAUAUAUUGCUCCAUGCUUAUCUCUAUCGGUUUAUGCUGUGUGACCCAUGGAGGCUGUCUACUUCUUUAUAUUAAUAAUACUACUAAAUAAAUUUGACAGCCACCCCAUAAUAUACUACCGGAUUCCUACUUGUUCUACCUUUCCUAUUAAACAUUGUGUGCCUUGUUUCUCCUCUUUCUCUUCUUUUUUUUUUUUAUCUUUUCUGUAAUAAUAUAUAUACCCACGAUUGUGU